UGGGGCGUAGCCAAGCGGUAAGGCAACGGGUUUUGGUCCCGUCAUGCGGAGGUUCGAAUCCUCCCGCCCCAGCAA
rnacentral:tRNA from 1 species